rnacentral:rRNA from 1 species
UACGUAGGGUGCGAGCGUUUGUCCGGAAUUAUUGGGCGUAAAGGGCUCGUAGGCGGUCUGUCACGUCGGGAGUGAAAACCCAGGGCUCAACCCUGGGCCUGCUUCCGAUACGGGCAGACUAGAGGUAUGCAGGGGAGAAUGGAAUCCUGGUGGAGCGGUGAAAUGCGUUGAUAUUGGAAGGAACGCCGGAGGCGAAAGCGACGCACUGGAUCUCUACUGAGCUGAGGCGCGAAAGCUAGGGGGAGCAAAACGGG